CCUACGGGUGGCUGCAGUGGGGAAUUUUGCGCAAUGCUCGCAAGAGUGACGCAGCGACGCCGCGUGCAUGACGAAGGCCUUCGGGGCGUAAAGUUCUUUUGACAGGGAGGAAAAUGCCGAUAAGUGACUGUGUAUGAAUUGACGGUACCUGUAUAAGCAGCCCCGGCUAACUCCGUGCCAGCAGCCGCGGUAAUACGGAGGGGGGGAGCGUUGUUCGGAGUGACUGGGCGUAAAGAGCACGUAGGCGGUGUUGUAAGUCAUUAGUCAAAGACUAGAGCUCAACUUUAGUAAGGCUAGUGAUACUAUAAUACUAGAGUAUCAGAGAGGAUUGCAGAAUGCAUGGUGUAGCGGUGAAAUGCGUAGAGAUCAGGAGGAAUACCGUUAGCGAAGGCGGCAAUCUGGCUGGAAACUGACGCUGAGGUGCGAAAGCGUGGGUAGCAAACAGGAUUAGAUACCCUUGUAGUC
rnacentral:rRNA from 1 species